GGUCAAGCUAAUAAGGGCUCAUGGUGGAUACCUAGGCACACAGAGGCGAAGAAGGACGUGGUUACCGACGAAAUGCUCCGGGGAGUUGGAAGCAAACAUUGAGCCGGAGAUAUCCGAAUGGGGCAACCCUGUAUACUACCUGCUGAAUAUAUAGGCAGGAAAGAGCCAACCCAGCGAACUGAAACAUCUUAGUAGCUGGAGGAAGAGAAAUCAAAAGAGAUUCCCUAAGUAGUGGUGAGCGAACGGGGAGAAGCCUAAACCAGUCGGUUUACUGACUGGGGUUGUGGGACAGCGAAAUCGAAUCUAGAGGUUAGACGAAGCAGCUAAAUACUGCACCAGAGAAGGUGAAAGUCCUGUAGUUGAAAACUGACUAGAUAGUAGCUGUAUCCCGAGUAGCAUGGGGCACGAGGAAUCCCAUGUGAAUCAGCGAGGACCAUCUCGUAAGGCUAAAUACUACUGUGUGACCGAUAGCGAACCAGUACCGCGAGGGAAAGGUGAAAAGAACCCCGGAAGGGGAGUGAAAUAGAACAUGAAACCGUGAGCUUACAAGCAGUGGGAGGACGAUUCAACGUCUGACCGCGUGCCUGUUGAAGAAUGAGCCGGCGACUUAUAGGCACUGGUAGGUUAAAGCGAGAAUGCUGGAGCCAAAGCGAAAGCGAGUCUGAAAAGGGCGAAAUUAAUCAGUGUUUAUAGACCCGAACCCUGGUGAUCUAACCAUGGCCAGGAUGAAGCUUGGGUAACACCAAGUGGAGGUCCGAACCGACCGAUGUUGAAAAAUCGGCGGAUGAGCUGUGGUUAGGGGUGAAAUGCCAAUCGAACCAGGAGCUAGCUGGUUCUCCCCGAAAUGUGUUGAGGCGCAGCGGUAAUGAUUAUAUCUGGGGGGUAAAGCACUGUUUCGGUGCGGGCUGUGAGAACGGUACCAAAUCGAGACAAACUCAGAAUACCCAGAGCACACAUUGCCAGACAGACGGUGGGGGAUAAGCUUCAUCGUCAAGAGGGAAACAGCCCAGACCACCAGCUAAGGUCCCCAAAUCAUCGCUAAGUGAUAAAGGAGGUGGGAGUGCACAGACAACUAGGAGGUUUGCCUAGAAGCAGCCACCCUAUAAUGAGUGCGUAAUAGCUCACUAGUCAAGCGCUCCUGCGCCGAAAAUGAACGGGGCUAAGCGAUGUACCGAAGCUGUGGGAUUGAUCGAAAGGUUAAUCGGUAGGGGAGCGUUCCGUCGUAGGUAGAAGCAGUAGCGGCGAGCAGCUGUGGACGAAACGGAAGUGAGAAUGUCGGCUUGAGUAGCGCAAACAUUGGUGAGAAUCCAAUGCCCCGAAACCCUAAGGGUUCCUCCGCCAGGUUCGUCCUCGGAGGGUUAGUCGGGUCCUAAGGCGAGGCCGAACGGCGUAGUCGAUGGACAACGUGUCAACAAUCACGUACUACGAUAUGGGAGCAUUGCUAGGGACGCAUGAAAGAUAGCCAUACCCUAAUUGGUUUGGGAGGAGUUUACGAACUCCGGAUGGUGAAUGUUAGUGCCAAGAAAAGCUAGUAAUGUGAUGAAGAUAUCGUACCCGUACCCGAAACCGACACAGGUAGGGAGGUUGAGAAUACCAAGGGGCGCGAGAUAACUCUCUCUAAGGAACUCGGCAAAAUGGCCCCGUAACUUCGGAAGAAGGGGUGCCCACCUCAGACGUGGGUCGCAGUGAAGAGAUCCAGGCGACUGUUUACCAAAAACACAGGUCUCCGCAAACUCGAAAGAGGAGGUAUGGGGGCUGACGCCUGCCCAGUGCCGGAAGGUUAAGGAAGUCGGUUAGGGUAACCGAAGCUGGCGACCGAAGCCCCGGUGAACGGCGGCCGUAACUAUAACGGUCCUAAGGUAGCGAAAUUCCUUGUCGGGUAAGUUCCGACCCGCACGAAAGGCGUAACGAUCUGGAUGGUGUCUCAGAGAGAGACUCGGCGAAAUAGGAAUGUCUGUGAAGAUACGGACUGCCUGCACCUGGACAGAAAGACCCUAUGAAGCUUUACUGUAGCCUGGAAUUGUGUUCGGGCUUCGCUUGCGCAGGAUAGGUGGGAGGCGUAGAGAUAUUCCUUGUGGGGAAUAUGGAGCCAACGGUGAGAUACCACUCUGGCGAAGCUAGAAUUCUAACCUACUACCGUUACCCGGUAGAGGAACAGUUUCAGGUGGGCAGUUUGACUGGGGCGGUCGCCUCCUAAAAGGUAACGGAGGCGCGCAAAGGUUCUCUCAGCACGCUUGGAAACCGUGCGGCGAGUGUAAAGGCAAUAAGAGAGCUUGACUGCAAGACCGACAAGUCGAGCAGGUACGAAAGUAGGCCUUAGUGAUCCGACGGCGCAGAGUGGAAUGGCCGUCGCUCAACGGAUAAAAGUUACUCUAGGGAUAACAGGCUGAUCUCCCCCAAGAGUCCACAUCGACGGGGAGGUUUGGCACCUCGAUGUCGGCUCAUCGCAACCUGGGGCGGAAGUACGUCCCAAGGGUUGGGCUGUUCGCCCAUUAAAGCGGUACGUGAGCUGGGUUCAGAACGUCGUGAGACAGUUCGGUCCAUAUCCGGUGCAGGCGUAAGAGCAUUGAGAGGAGCCUUCCUUAGUACGAGAGGACCGGGAAGGACGCACCGCUGGUGUACCAGUUAUUGUACCAACAGUAGACGCUGGGUAGCCAAGUGCGGAGCGGAUAACCGCUGAAAGCAUCUAAGUGGGAAGCCCACCUCAAGAUGAGUGCUCUCACUACAUAAGUAGGUAAGGUCACGGGCAGAACACCCGUUUAUAGGCGGUAGGUGGAAGUGCAGUAAUGUAUGCAGCCGAGCCGUGCUA
rnacentral:rRNA from 1 species